AUCUAAGUGCCCAGUAGGGCUGUGUGGGUUAGCGAUUGCCCUGGGCUAGAGACUAAGGAAGGGGUGAAAGUGUCACUGCCCCAGGCCAGAGCCUCUUGUGGGACUGUGAGUAUUAGCAGCUGACUGCAGACCCCUGGGAACUCUGCCCCAGCGUCUCUGCCUGAUGCAAAUCGGCCCUGGAAAAGCUCUAUGGCCCCAAGCCGAGCUCCCCACUCAGCAGACUGGAGGCUAACCCGGACUGCGUCCUCAUGCUGUGUAGGAUCACAACUGCCCCAAGGAAAAGCCCCCUACUGCGGGUUGGGGCUGCUUGCUUGUGCUAAGAUCUGUGCUUUCACUUUCGGUUUGAGGCUCUCCUUGGAACCUAAUUUCUCUCCCCGUCUGCGCUGAUCUCCCCCCUGGCCCCGGAACCAACCUUUUUUGGCAAGACUGCAGAUUUUUUUCGGCUGAAAACUACAGGGGAGAGAGCUGGACCUGCAGACUGAAAAGGAAAAUAAAAAGAAAAGAAAAGAGGGGAAUACCUGUGAUUUGCUGCUGCUCACCAGCUGUUGUGAACUUGAUGACUAAGGAAGUUAAAGAUCGUCCAGCCAGCAGCAGAUACCAGUUGUCCCUCAGGGAGUUUUGAAAGGCACCCACAAAAAUUCCUGCCCUAGACAGAUACAUUGAGAACCAAACUCUAAACUGAGAAUUUCUCUACUUUUCCCAACCAGCUGAUCUAGUGAAUGAUUUUGCAUAAUAACAACAAUAAUAACAUUAACUAUAAUCUUUACCACAGCAAUGUAAAUAUCAAUGGCAACACCAGCAGGGAGCUUAGAGUAUACACAGCCAACAGAGGAGAUGAGUUCCAGUCUAAUCACUUUUAACCAAGUCAACUAAUCUCAUGUUACUUCAAGCAACUUUCUAAGACUGAAAAUCUCAGAGAAAGUGAAUUUCUUUAUAGGUAGUUUCCUAAAGUAAAGAAAUCAUAAUCUAUUUCCUGCUUACCCACUCCCAAAACUCAAAUUUCUAUAGAGCUUUAAAAAUUUGUAAAAGUGCAUUCCUUUGAACAACCCUGGGAAGCAUAAAACCAGUAAUAUUGACCCCAUUUUACAUGGGAGGAAAAAGGAAAUUAAUGAACGUUAAAUUACUUUCCUAGGGUCAUAUAACUAGUAAGUGUGGGAACCAGAAAUCAGCCAUAAGUCUUCUGACUCCAAGUUUCAUAUGUAAGAAAUGUAAAGCAAAUGAUUUAGAGGGAAAAUUUAGCUCCAAAAAAAGCAUUUAGUGAGAAGGAAAGCAAAACCAGGAAUAACCUGAUGUAACUCUUGAUUUAGAGAGAGCAGAUUUCAAAAAAUUGGAAUGGGGAGAAAGACUAACAUUUAACAAGGAAGGAAGUUCUGGUGGGAUUAGAAGUUCUCAAAACUGAAAUUCUGAAGACUCAAAUAGAAGCAAUUUCUAAGAGUUGCACUAAUGAAGGGAGUGACAAAAAAAAAAAAAAAACAGUGUAAAGGCACAUGAAAUUCAUCAACCUACUUGCAUUUUAAAAGAAUUAAACAGAAGUCUCUAUAAAGUCCUUUCUUUCAUCACCUACUUUUUUUUUCUCUUUUUGUCCAAGAAUAUAGUACUAUUGUCACUCAUGGCCUAAUUUCACUGCUGAUUUACAUGAAAGCUUUGACCUGUUCAAAUUCUGACCAGGAUCAGUUUUCCCCUUGUAGAGAUCCUGGUGGCCCCCUACUCUUCCUCACAUUGGGGAAUAUGGAAUAUUCAGGGAAGACCAGUACCUUCUCUGGUGUCAGAACUUGCUGAGGUCUUUUCAGGAUUGCUCAUCCAUCUUCAGUGUCCAUUUUCAUCUAACUUUCUCCUGUGUUUUCACAAAAUUAUAGCAUGAUCAGCAGCCCCAUAUCAGUAAAACCACUUUUGCAGACAAGCUAGACUCCAAUCAUGUGAAAACUUCUCCCUCCGGGAACAGGCAAAUGAGAACAAUGACCACGUAGGCACCUGAAGCAGGUGCUAUGGAAUACUUAGAGAUAAGUCAAAUACUAAAGACAUCAAGCAAAUUUAUUGCAUCUUAGGCCAUUGCCAGUCAUCUUGACUUUCAUCUUGCCACUGGACUUUGAUGAUUCUGGAAGAGAGAGACUGACAACUUUGUGAACUGCCUCACAAAUGCAAUUCAGGCUCAAGUCAAGACAUCACUCACGAUGUCAUUGGUUCUCCUAUAAAAGAAAGGAUGAAGAAAAACCACAAAUAAAUAAAGCAAAUUGACACCAGAAAUGCUAUGAUAGCCCUAUAGCAAGUCAAAACUCCCAAACUUAAUCAGUCUCAACCUCUACAAGAAAAUAUUAAAGAUGGUUACC
rnacentral:lncRNA from 1 species